rnacentral:rRNA from 1 species
GGGUCAGUAGGUUGGUCGUGCCACCGGUACGUACUGGUCACACUGAUUCCUCCUUCCUGAAGAACCGUAAUGCCAUUAAUUUGGUGUUGCGGGAAACAGGACUGUUACUUUGAAAAAAUUAGAGUGUUUAAAGCAAGCUAACGCUUGAAUACAUUAGCAUGGAAUAAUGAAAUGGGACGAUCGAUCCUAUUUUGUUGGUUUCUAGGAUUGACGUA